AUACGGAGGGUGCAAGCGUUAUUCGGAAUCAUUGGGUGUAAAGCGCGUGUAGGCGGCUGGGUAAGUUAGAUGUGAAAGCUCCGGGCUUAACCUGGAAAGUGCAUUUAAAACUGCCUGGCUUGAGUCUCGUAGAGGAAGGUGGAAUUCCCAGUGUAGAGGUGAAAUUCGUAGAUAUUGGGAGGAACACCGGUGGCGAAGGCGACCUUCUGGGCGCAGACUGACGCUGAGACGCGAAAGCGUGGGGAGC
rnacentral:rRNA from 1 species